AGAAUCAACGCUGGCGGCGUGCCUAACACAUGCAAGUCGAACGCGAAAGUCCCGAAAGGGGCAAGUAGAGUGGCAAACGGGUGAGUAACGCGUGGGUGACCUGCCUUCGAGCGGGGGAUAACAUUCCGAAAGGGAUGCUAAUACCGCAUAACAUUCCGCUUUUGAAGAGGUGGAAAUCAAAGCUGGGGAUCGCAAGACCCGGCACUUGAAGAGGGGCCCGCGUCUGAUUAGCUAGUUGGUGGGGUAACGCCUACCAAGGCUUCGAUCAGUAU
rnacentral:rRNA from 1 species